UAACACUGGGUAACCUGCCUUAUAGUGGGGGAUAGCCUUUCGAAAGGAAGAUUAAUACCGCAUAAGAUUGUAGUAUCGCAUGAUAUAGCAAUUAAAGGAGCAAUCCGCUAUAAGAUGGACCCGCGUCGCAUUAGCUAGUUGGUGAGGUAAUGGCUCACCAAGGCGACGAUGCGUAGCCGACCUGAGAGGGUGAUCGGCCACAUUGGGACUGAGACACGGCCCAGACUCCUACGGGAGGCAGCAUG
rnacentral:rRNA from 1 species